UGGGGAAUUUUGGACAAUGGGCGAAAGCCUGAUCCAGCAAUGCCGCGCGUGUGAAGAAGGCCUUCGGGUUGUAAAGCACUUUUGUCCGGAAAGAAAUCCUUGGCUCUAAUACAGUCGGGGGAUGACGGUACCGGAAGAAUAAGCACCGGCUAACUACGUGCCAGCAGCCGCGGUAAUACGUAGGGUGCAAGCGUUAAUCGGAAUUACUGGGCGUAAAGCGUGCGCAGGCGGUUUGCUAAGACCGAUGUGAAAUCCCCGGGCUCAACCUGGGAACUGCAUUGGUGACUGGGCAGGCUAGAGUAUGGCAGAGGGGGGUAGAAUUCCACGUGUAGCAGUGAAAUGCGUAGAGAUGUGGAGGAAUACCGAUGGCGAAGGCAGCCCCCUGGGCCAAUACUGACGCUCAUGCACGAAAGCGUGGGGAGCAAACAGGAUUAGAUACCCUGGUAGUCCACGCCCUAAACGAUGUCAACUAGUUGUUGGGGAUUCAUUUCCUUAGUAACGUAGCUAACGCGUGAAGUUGACCGCCUGGGGAGUACGGUCGCAAGAUUAAAACUCAAAGGAAUUGACGGGGUCAUAGCUGUUUCCU
rnacentral:rRNA from 1 species